rnacentral:rRNA from 1 species
UUAGAGUUUGAUCCUGGCUCAGGAUGAAAGCAAGCGACAGGCCUAACACAUGCAAGUCGAGGGGCAGCAUUUCUAGCUUGCUAGAAGAUGGCGACCGGCGCACGGGUGAGUAACGCGUAUGCAACCUACCUUAUACUGGGGGAUAGCCCAGAGAAAUCUGGAUUAAUACCGCAUAAUAUGCUUGAAUCGCAUGGUUUAAGUAUUAAAACUCCGGUGGUAUAAGAUGGGCAUGCGUAGCAUUAGUUAGUUGGUGAGGUAACGGCUCACCAAGACAAUGAUGCUUAGGGGGUCUGAGAGGAUAGUCCCCCACACUGGUACUGAGACACGGACCAGACUCCUACGGGAGGCAGCAGUGAGGAAUAUUGGUCAAUGGGCGCAAGACUUUUUUUAUCCAUGUCGCGUGCAGGAUGAUGGCCCUAUGGGUUGUAAACUGCUUUUUUACAGGAAUAAUUGUCGCUACGUGUAGUGAUUUGAAUGUACUGUAUGAAUAAGGAUCGGCUAACUCCGUGCCAGCAGCCGCGGUAAUACGGAGGAUUCGAGCGUUAUCCGGAUUUAUUGGGUUUAAAGGGUCCGUAGGCGGUCUUUUAAGUCAGUGGUGAAAUCCCAGAGCUCAACUCUGGAACUGCCAUUGAAACUGAAAGACUUGAAUAUGGUUGAGGUAGGCGGAAUACGUUAUGUAGCGGUGAAAUGCAUAGAUAUAACGUAGAACACCAAUUGCGAAGGCAGCUUACUAAGCCAUUAUUGACGCUGAUGGACGAAAGCGUGGGGAGCGAACAGGAUUAGAUACCCUGGUAGUCCACGCCGUAAACGAUGAUUACUCGUUGUGCACAAUACAUCGUGCGUGACUGAGCGAAAGCAUUAAGUAAUCCACCUGGGGAGUACGUUCGCAAGAAUGAAACUCAAAGGAAUUGACGGGGGCCCGCACAAGCGGAGGAACAUGUGGUUUAAUUCGAUGAUACGCGAGGAACCUUACCUGGACUUAAAUGUAGAUUGACCCACUUAGAAAUAGGUGUUCUCUUCGGAGCAAUUUACAAGGUGCUGCAUGGUUGUCGUCAGCUCGUGCCGUGAGGUGUCGGGUUAAGUCCCAUAACGAGCGCAACCCCUAUCGUUAGUUGCUAGCAGGUAAUGCUGAGGACUCUAGCGAGACUGCCACCGUAAGGUGAGAGGAAGGUGGGGAUGACGUCAAAUCAGCACGGCCCUUACGUCCAGGGCUACACACGUGUUACAAUGGCCGAUACAAAGGGCAGCUACCUGGUGACAGGAUGCUAAUCUCUAAAGUCGGUCUCAGUUCGGAUCGGAGUCUGCAACUCGACUCCGUGAAGUUGGAUUCGCUAGUAAUCGUAUAUCAGCAAUGAUACGGUGAAUACGUUCCCGGG